rnacentral:lncRNA from 1 species
GAGAUUCUUCAAAGUAUGUGUUAUUUCAUAGUUUUGAUGUCUUCACUAUUAUUCUACAAUGUAGAAAAUAGUAAAAAAUAAAGAAAAACCCUGGAAUGAGUAAGUGUGUCCAAACUUUUGACUGGUUCUGUAUGUGUCAGAUGUUUUUAGUUUAAGGAUAAACCAAUACCAACCAGUUAAGGAGAUCUUCACUUCCCAAAACUAGUUUCACACAAGUCUGGGUCUAUUUUUGGAUUAUGAAUACAAGGAACCAUAUACUACUCUACUCUCAUUUGAAUAUUGCACUUGAAAAAUAAAUGACUUGAAAACAGCCUCUUGUCUUGUACAUCUAUGAUAUUGCAACUCUGUAGAUUACAGUGGACUCUAUAGAUUACAGUGGACUCUAUAGAUUACAGUGGACUCUAUAGAUUACAGUGGACUCUAUAGAUUACAGUGGACUCUAUAGAUUACAGUGGACUCCUGAAAAAGGCAAUGGCUUGGGACUGUUGUGCCAGAGUAUGUAGUUGUCAGGAGCAAGCUAUUGAAAAUCAUGUCAUUGAAAUGAGACUGGAAAACUGUAUUGUACUUAAAGAAUUCACAUUUAUUGAAAGAGCACUUAUCAAGAGUCGAAUGUACAUAAUAUAUUUCAAAGUGUAAAACUGAUUAGAUUAAAUGUUAAAUCAAAAACUAUUUCCAUCACCUCCCAAAAGAAAACAAAAAACACCUCUCACCUUUCUCAGCCAGGGUGCAGCAAAGGAGACAGAGGAAGAUUGCACAACACAGACAGAGUGCAGACAUCGUGCUAAAACAACAAGAGCUUCACAACUAACAAAUAGCAGGAAAUAGACAGUAUGUCUAUACCACAGUGAUGUCUGCUCUAGAACCACUCCACCAAUAGGAACACGAAGUAGGCCUACUUUACAGUUAGGUUCUGAACAAAUGAGGUAGGCAUAAUAAACCAAGACAUUACAAAAUAACAUAAAGAGAAUCAAGACCUGAACUUAUUUCAGUUGCAAUUGUGGGUGUCAGUAUGUGACAGAAUCAUAUGUUAGGGAAUCAUAGGUUAGGGAUAAAUGAGGUUUAACAACAAAACAUAAUUAUUUGAUUUGAACUUUUACUUCACUACAUUCCAAAACAAAAUAUGUACUUUUUACUCCAUACAUUUCCCCUGACACCUGUGGAGGAAAUGAAUAUUCAUGACAUACUAUACUGUUUAAUUAGACAUAGAAUGCUGUUUUCUACGUAAAGAUUGUCCAUUGUUAAAUGCUAGUAUUUUUUAUAACCUGAUACAAAGUUGCCUUUGUGUGACUUAGUCACAAGACUGGGUGAUUUCGUAAGAACCGUUUGGGUGUGACCGCAGCAUGUGACACAUCCCGUGGUUUUCUGCAGGAACUCAGCUGUAUGGGAAGUUGCAGGAAGGAGCACAUUAUAGUGUGAACUGUGACAAACGCAGUUACAUGGUUGAGCCCUUGUGCUAUCAACCUCCGGCUAUCUUAAUCUGCACUGACAAACCAAUCGCCUUUUAGACACUAUGCUCCGCCCAUUUCCACCCAUCUGCUAAACUGCCACAAAGACAGAGGUUGCAUUUUCUAUAAAAGCUGAGAGCCAACGCUAUUCGUUGGGCUUUCUGACUAUGCACUGUUGAGUGAUUGUCAUUUAUUGCUUCAUUUUUACAAAUCUUAUAAUAAAGUUAUUUGAUAGAAUCUGCAGUCUCUCUUCCUAUAGAAUGUCUACCACACACCCAAAAGUACUGGUUACAUUUCAAAUGCUUAGCAGGACAGGAAAGCUGCCCAAUUCAAACAAACAUCCCUGGUAAUCCUUACUGCCUCCGAUCUGGCGGACUCACCAAACACAAAUUAUUCAUUUGUAAAUUACGUCUGAGUGGUGGCUAUCCGUAAAUAAAUGUUUAAAAAAUAAAUAAAAAAUGGUGCAGUCUGGUUUGCUGUAUAUUUUAGCAAUUACAUUUACCUUCGAUAAUUAAGUAUAUUUAAAACCAAAUACUUUUAGACAAGUAGUAUUUUACUGGGUGGCUUUCACCUUUACUUGAGUCAUUUUCUAUUAAGGUAUCUUUACUUUUACUCAAGUAUGACACUGGGUAUUUGUUCCACCACUGUUGGAUUCUGGGGUAAACUUUGAACAUUGUUAUACUCAGAAGUAUAGGAACAUUAGUUACAUAAGAGACAUGAAGCGUGCCAUAAUGAAGUUUGGGAGGGGCUGAGUGCAGGGAAAACAAUCGCAUGUGACAGUACUGAUAUCACUUAGUUCCCUGCUUAGCAAGAAUGACGCAAUGUUUAGCGAUAAGGUGGAGACUCCACCCAAAGUUGGGUAUGAAUACUACCACGGGGGAGGCCAUGUCUGUGUCUGAAUUACAGCUGUAUUGACCCUUUGGGAAGAAUUAAACUUGGUUAAGCUUCUCUAGUGUCUGAGUUAUUUACUCAAAAUUAGAACCUAACAUUACAUAACAUAUCCUCUAGUCCCAGACAUGAUAGAGGUGAAUGGUUCACUACAUAACAUAUCCUCUAAUCCCAGACAUGAGAGGUGAAUGGUUCACUACAUAACAUAUCCUCUAGUCCCAGACAUGAGAGGUGAAUGGUUCACUACAUAACAUAUCCUCUAGUCCCAGACAUGAUAGAGGUGAAUGGUUCACUACAUAACAUAUCCUCUAGUCCCAGACAUGAGAGGUGAAUGAUUCACUACAUAACAUAUCCUCUAGUCCCAGACAUGAGAGGUAAAUGAUUCACUACAUAACUUAUUCUCUAGUCCCAGAAAUGAGAGGUGAAUGGUUCACUACAUAACAUAUCCUCUAGUCCCAGACAUGAGAGGUGAAUGGUUCACUACAUAACAUAUUCUCUAGUCCCAGACAUGAGAGGUGAAUGAUUCAAGUAUUCUAUAUCAGCUAUGUUUUUUUUAAAAGGCAGUAAAUGAGGAUGGCAGUAAACUUAACCUGGGUAUGUGGUAAGCUGAUCCUCCAGACAGUGGAAGUUAAGCUUUCUACACAUUUCUGUACUGAAUGAAAUAUUAUCACUACCUUUAUAAAACAAUGUCUAUCUUUAUUUUCCAAACACAAUUCAACACAAUCACUUUGUCUUUUAAUGAUUUUAAGCAUAUUUUAUCACAGGCUUAACACCUUACAAAGGCUUUGUACUUUUUAAAACAUUUUUAACAUAGGCCACCCCUGUUGUCAAAUCAAAAUUGUAUUUGUCACAUGCGCUGAAUACAACAGGUGUAGACCUUACAAUGAAAUGCUUACUUACAAGCCCUUAACCAACAUUGCUUUAAGAAGUUAAGAAGAAAAACGUGUUAACAUAGAUAAAAGUAACAAACAGCAGCAGUAAAAUAACAAUAGCGAGGCUAUAUACAGGGGGAACCGGUACAGUAAAUGUGCGGCAAUUUUGUGAAACUCAUGAGAGACAAUACGGCCACAUUACCAUAACGCUGUUUAUAUAAUAGCCUCAGGGCACCGCUUGCAAGCCUCCCUUUUUCCUCCUAACAUAACGAUGGUCAUUAAUGCCAAAGAGUUCUAUUUCUGUUUCAUCAGACUAGAGGACAUUUCUCCAAAAAGUACGAUAUUUGUCCACAUGUGCAGUUGCAAAUCGUAGUUUUAAUAGCAGUUUUGGAGCAGUGGCUUCUUCCUUGCUGAGCGGCCUUUCAGGUGUCAUGACAUUGCCCUCUUUGGACACAGCGAGCACCAUCUCCCUCUGUCUCCUACACCCAGGCUGCUGUGUUCAGAGAGGUCGUAAAUUCCUGGAGGAGACUAUCUCCUCAUGGCCACAGUAUAGAGAGUGAGUUUUUAUAGAGAGAACAAAGGAAUUUCUUCCACCUCACAGAACUGGAGGUCCGAACAAUAUUUAUGUUCUGGAGAAUGUAUAAAAGAUUGGUGAAGAAUCCAGCUACGAACUGGUCCGUUUGGUACAAUUUUGUGAAACUCAUGAGAGACAAUACGGCCACAUUACCAUAACGCUGUUUAUAUAAUAGCCUCAGUUAUGAGGCUUACAUCUAAUUGUUGUAUAAAAUGAAUGAGUGAGGAUGGAACUGUUUGUGAAAUUGUGUAAUGUGAUUUUGGACUGUUUAAUGAAGGAAACUCCAAUUCCCUUUUGGAGUUUAACUAAUCAGAGGACCACCCAUGAGCACAGUUAUGGUCUGGUGUCAUGGGACUGGCCCUUUUCUGCUCUUCUAAAUAAAAUCCCCACCUAGGUUUUCUAUCACCAGACCAGCUUACCUCGAUAACGAGAGGGCUAAGGUUUGAGACGAGACCAGCUUACCUUGAUAAUGAGGGGCAAGGUUUGAGAGGAGGCCAAGCUUACCUCAAUUACGAGAUGGCUAAAGGUUGCAGACCAUGCAUUUCUCUUGCUGAACUUUUAACCAUACCAUGUGGUUAAACUCUUAGACUAUCGAUACCGACAGAAUAAGAACAAGUCUUUGAUAUUAAUUACUAGUCUGCAGCUAGGAAUUCGGUAUCAUUGAACGCGAAGACCGACAACCGCCAAAACAGCUAAUCUAUAACGUCAUGAAUGAAUGUUACUCUGAACUAUCCAUUCUAACCACAACAGAGAGAGAGACAGAGAGGACAGAGACAGAGAGGACAGACUCUCCAACAGAAACAAACUUUUCAACAGAGAUCCCGAUGACACACUGAACUCUAACAUCAGGUUUUAGUCACAAUAUAUGAAAGAAUAGUCUGGUGUGGUUAACAACUACAGACAAUGCUGUUAACACUUAGCUUGGUAGCAGGAUAAUGCAUGCACUCCAUUUCUCCUGCAGAGGGGGAACACAAUAGUGUUGAACCAGAUUGUUCUCUCUUCCAGGCAAAGCAUUAACAUUCAGUUAGCUGUGUGGCGUGAGAGACAGAGCAGACAUGACACCGACAGGGAAGAGAGCCCAUAACACUCCGGAUAAUACAUCUGUCGCUACGGAAACAGUCCUGUCCUGGUGCUGGAGUCGUGCUCUGCUGGGACUGCUGUAUCCUCAGGCUCUGGUUCCAUAGGGGACAAUAGGAAUACCAACACUGUUAUACACCAUUUUACCACACACAUUUUAUACACUGCAUUUUACUAUGAAUUUGAUCGUUUUGACAGGAAUCCCUCUUCGAUUAGGUAGACAAAAAUAAUAUACUCAAACAUUCUGCCACAAAAGAGUCUUCCUGUGCCACUGGUUCAUCUGGAAAGAGAAACCAGAAGCAACCUUUUACAGGGGUUGAUACUGUGUGCUCUACCAUGUUUUGUGAUUUGUUACAGAGACAAUUGAAUAACAAAUCCUGAAUUCCCAUCUGGGGAGGAGAAGGAGAGCAAUAGAGAAACUAAAACAAUAAAAACUAAACUAAGUGAUCUUGUCGAGGAGUUAGUUCUCCAUUCCACUUAUAUAGCAACAUCCUGGCAUUUAGCCAGAACAGAAAGUACUCUCCUAAUCUUCCCAGACCUCUGCAUUCCUCUCGGCAGAGAUUGUCAAAUGCAAGGUCGUGUUCACUAGGCACGAAAUGGAAAGAAGCAGUCUGAAAUGGGGAGGAACUAUCUGAAUAACUUCUUGAAGCAUUUUGCAACAGUGUGUCCUAAUGGACAUGACCCUGGGUGCUCAUGUUGUCUGAGUCUUCUGGCUUGAAACAGCUUGAGAAGCAGCAGUCCAAUGGCAAGAGAGCCUACUACCACAAAUACAGCAGUCACAUUCUUGUAACUGUUCUUUGGAAUUUCCUUUUGAUUUGCAGCAUUCUCAGGAACCUGGUGCUGGUCUCAUACUGUAACACACAAAAUCAGAAUCAUUAAAAAUGAAAAUCAUGUCACAUUCAGGUAUGCGAUCAGGGAUGCAAUGAAUUAAGUCAUGUUUGUAGGGUGAGUCAAUUUAUAUUGGAUACUAAUAGAUGAUAAUGUCAGAAAAGCAAGAUUUCUUGAUGGAUCAUCUGCACAGUGGAAAUCAUGAUGCAAAAAGGAGAAUACUAAACAGUCAGUGUUAGAGUGUGAGGAAGGCACUUUGAAUUCCAAACUAUGUGUUAAGCCCUUAGUUUUUCCUGACUGGGAAAUACUCAGGGCCCUACCUAUAAACAUUGGCCUCCAAAAGCUUUGAGCUCACCUGUGACCUUCAGCAUGAAGUUACAAUUUGUGUUUCCACUGUCAGUGUUCACCACACACUCAUACGGACCCUCUUCUUCAGGCUGGGUUUCUUUAACCAACAGGGACACAACUUUGUCUCUCAUUGGCAGGUGGCAUGGAAAGCUGAUAUUUUGGGCUCAGCAGCAUCCUGGGAUUGGAGGAUUGUAUAUAUAUAUGUGAACACAGGUUCACCUUUGUAAUGACCAUUCUGGUCCAGCCUCCACAACCUGCUUUAUGUUUACAUUACCAGGGGAUUCCUCACUGAACUUCACAGAGCAGUCUAGGACUGCAUCCUUCCCAGAUUCCACCUGGAUGACCUGCUUCAACUCUGAGCGCUGGUUUAGACCUGUUUAAGCAACAGAUAGAAAAACUAAAUGAAACAGGACUGUAGUACAGAAAAUGUUACAACUGACAGGUGUAGUUUGGAUAAAACAAAACUCCUAGACCAUUCGAUGUGAGCAUUUUGGAAGUUGUGGUGUUGGCAAAAGUAUUACAAAUUGUGCCUGCAGAAUGCCUUACUUUUGGAUGUCUCCAUCCCAGUGAUGAGGA